rnacentral:snoRNA from 1 species
ACCCCCCAGAUUCCAUCCCCAUCAGACCUAAACACUGGUCCGAGUGGUUCUAGAAGGAGGAAAUAUAACAUUGAAACUGACUUAAAUUCUUUUGCGACACACAGGCUAGUUUCAAGUCCCA